UACGUAGGGGGCAAGCGUUGUCCGGAUUUAUUGGGCGUAAAGAGCGUGUAGGCGGCUUGGUAGGUCUGCUGUGAAAACUCGGGGCUCAACCCCGAGACGUCGGUGGAAACCACCUGGCUAGAGUCCGGAAGAGGAGAGUGGAAUUCCUGGUGUAGCGGUGAAAUGCGCAGAUAUCAGGAAGAAUAUCCGUGGCGAAGGCGACACACUGGCCCGUUACUGACGCUGAGGCGCGAAAGCGUGGGGAGCAAACAGG
rnacentral:rRNA from 1 species